rnacentral:lncRNA from 15 species
UAAUGUCAAUACAGCAGCAAAAAUAGAUCUAUUCUUAAUGACAAUUAUGGUGUUCCAGUCCCCCACAUGUCUGAGGUUCACGUACAUGAGGCACAUGGCCACAAAACAACAACCUCACUUGAGCACGGGGAGGAAAGGGAGGCCGAGGAGCAUAAAGUCUUCCAUAAGUCUGAGGGACACACACACGAGACUCAUGGCCACAAAACAACCUCACCUGAGCACGGGGAGAAAAGGCACGAGGAGGAGGAGCAUAAAGUCUCCCACAAGUCUGAGGGACACGUACAUGAGACUCACGGCCACAAAACGUCAUCUGAGAACGGGCAGGAGAGGGAGGAGGAGAAAGAAAGAAAAGUCGAGCACACAGUUUCCCACACAUCUGAGGGACAUGGACAUGAGAUUCAUGGCCACAGAGCAGCAGCCUCAUCUGGUCACGGGCAAAAAAGGGAGGAGGAGGAGGAGAAUAGAGUCUCCCAUAAGUCUGAGGGACAUGGACAUGAGACUCAUGGCCAAAAAAAAACAACCUCUUCUGGGCAUGGGGAGGAGGAGCAUAAAGUCUCCCAUCAUUUUGAUGGACAUGGGCAUGGACAUGAGACUCAUGGUCACAAACCAACAGCCUCAUCUGGGCACGGGGAGGAACAUAAAGUAUCCCAUAAUUUUGAUGGACAUGGACAUGGACAUGAGACUCAUGGUCAUAAACCAACAACCUCAUCUGGGCACAGGGAGGAGCAUAAAGUAUCCCAUAAUUUUGAUGGACAUGGACAUGGACAUGGACAUGAGACUCAUGGUCACAAACCAACAUCUGGGCACGGGGAGGAGCAUAAAGUAUCCCAUCAUUUUGAUGGACAUGGACAUGGACAUGGACAUGAGACUCAUGGUCACAAACCAACAACCUCAUCUGGGCACGGGGUGGAGCAUAAAGUCUCCCAUAAUUUUGAUGGACAUGGACAUGGACAUGGACAUGAGACCCAUGGCCACAGAACAACAACCUCAUCUGGCCACGGGGAGGAGGAGCAUAAAGUCUCCCACAAGUCUGAGGGACACGUACAAGAGACUCACAGCCACAAACCAACAACCUCAUCUGGGCACGGGCAUGGGCAUGAGGGAGAGCAUAAAGAAGAAAAAGCUGAAAGGAAAGGUAUCUUGGCAAUGUCCUUGUAGAUGGUGAAGUUUACUAUGCAGUGCUAAACUUUUACAGCAAGCUGAGCUUAUAGCCAAAAAAUGGGAUCCUAGAAACUGAAAUAAACAGAAAUGUCUCAGUGACAUGACUGCCUUUGGAUCAAUUGAAGCUUAAGAAUGAACCUCACAAGAUAUUUUUUGCUUAUGUUCAUGAUAAUUGUGGUGUUUCAGUCUCCCA